rfam:Triticum aestivum genome assembly, contig: Triticum_aestivum_CS42_TGACv1_scaffold_112271_2AS
CUACUACUCCCUCCGUUUUAAAUUGCUCGUCGCAUAAAUGGAUGUAUCUAGAACUAAAAUACAUCUAGUUACAUCCAUACGCACGACAAGUAAUUUGAAACGGAGGGAGUAUAUG